CUCUUCAAUGCUCUUCCACCUGAAAUAAAGACAGAGAUUCAUAACAAGAGUAGAUUUUGGACAGCUGCUGUUGUCUAUCAUGUCGAAAUCAGAGCAGGAACAAAGUUGCACCUGCACCCAAGACCUGGCAAAUCUGCUGCCAGUUCUUAUACAGUUCACCACAAGGUUGGAAAAC